rnacentral:rRNA from 1 species
GUCUACGGCCAUACCACCCUGAAUUCUCCUGAUCUUGUCUGAUCUCAGAAGCUAAGCAGGGUCAGGCCUUGUUAGUACUUGGAUGGGAGAUGUAUUUAUGACGUCCUUGAAU